rnacentral:rRNA from 1 species
UACGGAGGGUGCAAGCGUUGUUCGGAAUUAUUGGGCGUAAAGGGCGUGUAGGCGGUUUCAUAAGUCUGAUGUGAAAGCCCCGGGCUCAACCUGGGAAGUGCAUUGGAAACUGUGAGACUUGAGUACGGGAGAGGGCAGUGGAAUUCCUGGUGUAGGAGUGAAAUCCGUAGAUAUCAGGAGGAACACCGGUGGCGAAGGCGGCUGCCUGGACCGAUACUGACGCUGAGACGCGAAAGCGUGGGGAGCAAACAGGAUUAGAAACCCCCGUAGUCC